rnacentral:lncRNA from 1 species
CGGGGCCGGAGGGGUCCGGGGUCCCGGGCCGACAGGUGUACGGAGCCCGCGGAUCGUGUCCGGGUGCUGGUCCGCAGCCCUCGGAAAAGACCCGGACACGGGAACGCGAAGGGGAUGUCGGGAGCAGUCCACAAAAAGUCACCGUGUCAGGUUCGGGGAGAAGAGAGCGGACCGGUUUGCCCCGAGAGCCCCAAUCGUAUGUACUCGGUCAGGCGCUGAGGAGCCGUGCCAGCUGACCCUCUAAAUGACCUUUAGCAGCACCCCUGCAUUUGGCUAGUGAGUGCCAGAGUUAGGUGGCCCGUGUUUCGGGCCGUGAGACCUCCAGGCCGUCCCCCGGCCGCCCUCGCCGGGUGUAGUCGGUGCCGGUGUGGGGCUGUCCACAAACAGAUAGGCCGGGUUCCUGCAAAAAAGACACGCUCUCGAAAUUUCAGGGAAAUGAUGAGCCUGGCUGUCUGGGGCUCCCCGGGUCAACCGGGGAGGAGAUUGGCCCUCCGAGAGAUAGACGGGAUCCUCUCGGGUGGGCGACUCCUGGUUCCCUCCUCUCGGGUGGGAGACUCCUGCUUCCCUCCUGUUACCCCCAAAGGCUCCACUUAACCCAGCUAAUGAAAGGCAUCUUCUGUUUUUCAGAUCCUGUCUGGACAUAUGGUUGGGAAAGUGAGGAAGAGUGUGGGAAAUGAAGUCAGGGACCAGGGAGAAGACGAUGAUCGUUUUGGGUGUGAUUCUUCCUCCGGAGUCCAACCUCCUGGUGACAAUCAGAAACACCAAAGGACAGCGUGCACAGUAUUCUGCCCUAGUGGGCCCCCACUCUUUGCAGAAAAGAAUGAUGUCUGUCGUUUCUCUCUCCUCCCUGGGCCAUUCUUGGUUUUUCACUUGGAGUCAGUCUUCCUUUCGUUGGUGUUUUCAUUUACAUGGCAUAAUCGGAUUUUUAAAGCAUCCCAUCAGUUUUAGGAGGAUAUCUUCUACUGUUCCACAUUUUACUCUCCUUGGUGAGCGCAACUGAACAAAGAGCAGAAUCUCUCAAAGUUUCGUUGUGAUGCUUGCCAAAUGCUAUAGAGCAGGCAGGAAAAACCUGUUGGUGUGGUCACCCAUGGAAACCGUUGAGAUUGCAUUUAUACUCAUUCUCGGGUUUUUGAGCGUGUGUACCAGCAUUUCCCCUUCCACUCAGAGGCCUCACACCUGUGACUUUCUUACUGCAGUGGAUUUUUCAAGCUCCUAGUGUCGUCAACAGCAUGUCCCCCUCCCCUUUUUCCUUUGGCUCCCUGGUCUCCUUAUUUCUUGUGGAUUCUGUUAGAUUGCCAGUCCUCCUCAUCACGUCUCUUGGGGCUCCCCCAUCUCACCCUGGAGCUCUGGUGGGCAGGGCUAGAGCCCAGCAGCAGGGGAAGGGGCCUGGUAUUAGUCCCUUCUGUGCUGCAUCUGGUGGAGAUGGCUGCUCUUCAGGAUGAGUUAUUCCCCGCUGCAUCGCUGCCAGUCUGGGGGCGCCUGGUGGGGCCUCAGGCCCGGGGCAUUACUGCCCGAGGGAUCGUCACCUACGGUCCGUCUCUUAGGU